UUCCAGACUCCUACGGGAGGCAGCAGUGGGGAAUAUUGCACAAUGGGGGGAACCCUGAUGCAGCGACGCCGCGUGAGCGAUGAAGUAUUUCGGUAUGUAAAGCUCUAUCAGCAGGGAAGAAAAUGACGGUACCUGACUAAGAAGCCCCGGCUAACUACGUGCCAGCAGCCGCGGUAAUACGUAGGGGGCAAGCGUUAUCCGGAUUUACUGGGUGUAAAGGGAGCGUAGACGGCGACGCAAGUCUGGAGUGAAAGCCCGGGGCCCAACCCCGGGACUGCUCUGGAAACUGCGGCGCUGGAGUACGGGAGGGGCAGGCGGAAUUCCUGGUGUAGCGGUGAAAUGUGUAGAUAUCAGGAGGAACACCGGCGGCGAAGGCGGCCUGCUGGACUGCAACUGACGUUGAGGCCCGAAAGCGUGGGGAGCAAACAGGAUUAGAUACCCCGGUAG
rnacentral:rRNA from 1 species